GCUGGCCUUUCCUCUUAGGACUGCAGUCAAAAGAGAAUUCAUAAGCUAAGUCAAGAGACAGCUCAGAAAAAAAAAAAAAAGUCUCCAGAAGGCUGCUGAACUGAUUGUCGGCUGUAGCAGUGACAAUGCGAGUUCUAUAAGAGAAACUUACCAAGAGCUGGAUAAGGCCCACGGUGAACAACCAUACUCCCAGUGCUGGGAGGCGGAGCUGGGAUAAUAAACACAAGUUCUUGCUGGCCAGGGAUGGAGAGUAGGCCCUAUCUCAAAGAGGAGGAAGAGGAAGAGUAGCAGAAGCAGGAACAAAGGCUUACUAAAAUCCUGCCAAGUCCAGGUGUUCACUCGAAAUCUGCAUCCAGGGUGACUGCUCACAGGUGCUCUGGUCCAACCUCACCGAUACUCCAACUGGGCCUGCACCUUCCCCCCACAAGUGACAUCCCUCCGCAACCCCAGUCAGCAGGAAGUAAUCUGAAGAACACAAUGCUCUCACUUCUGCCCCACCAUCAUAUCACCCCUCCCUAGCUCCCCAUUUUUCAUUAAAUGGGAAGGGAGAGACAUCAGUUUAUAGGCAGUUCAGCUAAGGUCCUUCCAGACACAUAGCAAUGGCUUAUGUCAUCAUCUGCCACCACCAGGUACAGGUGGCCUGGUGUACACCCCAGUUGGCUCUCACUCCCUCUUCUGUCCUUCUCUGUCUCCCCAUUCCCUUGCCCUCAUGGGUCUGUUCCCAUCUGUCUGCCUCUACCCCUCCUCCAGGUCCCUUCUCCCAAAUAAACCUUCUUUAUGCCUGC